AAUCAACGCUGGCGGCGUGCCUCAGACAUGCAAGUCGAACGCGAAAGGCCCCUUCGGGGGCCCGGUAGAGUGGCGCACGGGUGAGUAACACGUAGGUAAUUUGCCUUCGGGUGGGGAAUAACAGCCGGAAACGGCUGCUAAUACCGCAUAAUGCAGCGGCUCGACAUCGAGACAGUUGUUAAAGCGGGGGAUCGCAAGACCUCGCGCCUGAAGAGAAGCCUGCGGCAGAUAGCUUGUUGGUGAGGUAAUGGCUCACCAAGGCGACGAUCUGUAACCGGCCUGAGAGGGCGGUCGGUCACACUGACACUGACAUACGGGUCAGACUCCUACGGGAGGCAGCAGUCGGGAAUUUUGGGCAAUGGGCGAAAGCCUGACCCAGCAACGCCGCGUGAAGGAUGAAAUCUCUCGGGAUGUAAACUUCGCAAGAAC
rnacentral:rRNA from 1 species